rnacentral:lncRNA from 1 species
UUUAUAAAUAUCCAUAAUGUCUUUUCUCUGCCUUCCUCUUCCCAUAACAGAAUCCAUGACCUUCCCUUUAGUGUCAUGGUUAUAAGCAUGGACUUUAGGACCAGGCUUCCCUGGAUUCAAAUCUUCCUUCAGCCACUUACUACGAGUUGGAAGACUUGGAGAAACCCCACAGAGCUCUCUUGCCUCCAUAUGAGGACACCGUGAGAAGAUGGCUGCCACUGAACUAGAAAGCAGGUCCUCACCAGGCAUGAUAUUGGCUAACAUCCUACCCUUGGAUUUCUGAAUCUCCACAGCUAUUGAGAGAUAAGUUUGGGUGGGUGUUUUUAAGCCAC